rnacentral:rRNA from 1 species
UACAGAGGGUGCGAGCGUUGUCCGGAAUCACUGGGCGUAAAGGGCGCGUAGGUGGCCCGACAAGUCACUGGUGAAAGCUCGAUGCUCAACAUCGAGUCGGCCAGUGAUACUGUUGGGCUGGAGCACUGUAGAGGCUAAUGGAAUUCCGGGUGUAGCGGUGGAAUGCGUAGAGAUCCGGAAGAACACCGGUGGCGAAGGCGGUUAGCUGGGCAGUUGCUGACACUGAGGCGCGACAGCGUGGGGAGCAAACAGG